AACGCACAUUGCGCCCCUUGGUAUUCCAUGGGGCAUGCCUGUUCGAGCGUCAUUUGUAUCUUCAAGCUUUGCUUGGUGUUGGGUGUUUGUCCUGCUCUAUGCGUGGACUCGCCUUAAAUCAAUUGGCAGCCGGUAAUCUGGUGUUAAGAGCGCAGCACAUUGUGCGCUCCUCGCUGUGUAUUGCGGCGUCCAUUAAGCCUAUAUUUUUUUGCUCUUGACCUCGGAUCAGGUAGGGAUACCCGCUGAACUUAA
rnacentral:misc_RNA from 1 species